rnacentral:rRNA from 1 species
GCCUGCCCAGUGACAACAUUUAACGGCCGCGGAACCCUAACCGCGCGAAGGUAGCAUAAUCACUUGUUUCCUAAAUAGAGACUAGUAUCAACGGCAUCACGAGGGUUAAACUGUCUCCCUCCCCCAAUCAGUGAAACUGAUCUCCCCGUGAAGAAGCGGGGAUAAACUUAUAAGACGAGAAGACCCUAUGGAGCUUUAGGCCCGAUAAGCAACUUAUGAAAACAAAACUACACACAAAUAAGACCUGCUACUCCACCUUAGGUUGGGGCGACCGCGGAGUAAAACAAAACCUCCACAACAAACAGAACUACACUUUAAUCCAAGAGCUACUACUCUAAGAAUAGAUAAAUCAAUGUAAAAUGACCCGAUAAUCGAUUAAUGAACCAAGUUACCCUAGGGAUAACAGCGCAAUCCAUUUCAAGAGCCCCUAUCAACAAAUGGGUUUACGACCUCGAUGUUGGAUCAGGGUAUCCCAGUGGCGCAACCGCUACUAAUGGUUCGUUUGUUCAACGAUUAAAACCCUAC